rnacentral:lncRNA from 1 species
UGGAAGAGGUGGAGGACUAGGUGCAACUACCUUCUCUUUAAGAGGUGGAUCAGGAAAAUUCUCCACCACAUCUACCAGGAUGUUUCCAUGCUCCUCGAGAAGGGACUCGAGGUAAGGAAUUAACGCAUCCCUUAUUUCAAGAGUUGUGAGCUCUCGGCCUGCCACGUCAUGUUACAAUUAGAUUAACAUUAAGUCAUUCCAUCCUAAUUCAAAUCAUGGAAGUAUUAACAAAUUGCAAUCGAACCUACUAGAUACCGAGACUUGUGAACGUAAUGAAGCCUUGAUACAAGAUGCUCAAUGAAAAGAUCGGACUUGUUGAUAGUCCUCGCAGCUACCGUAUUGCUUAAACCUUGCUUUUUCAAGAACAAGGUUAAGACAGCCUUGGCUUCUUCUUUUUCUGCUGCCAAUAGGGUUGGAGACACCACUCUCAAACUGACAGAACCAUCUAGCCCAGAAUCAGCAGCUGGAGUAUUGAAAGCUCAAAAGUUAGUUCAUAAAUAGUUUGGAUCACAAUGACAUAUCUGCAAGAUUCUGCCAUUUGCCAAUUAAGAAAUUACAUGGAAAUUACACUAUGGGACACGGUAACGAUCACUUACCAUACUUAGCUUGGCAGGAAAAGAGUUUCACUGGAAAAGAAAGUUGCACCCUGAGAAAAGGACCAACAUCAAUAUUCUACACUUCAACUGUAACAAAUGAGGGGCGACAGAUAGAGAACAAGGAUAUUAUUGGGCUGAUACAACUGAUUUCUGACGCCUCAACUAUGAUGCUUUCUUUAAUUGAAAGGCAGAUGACAUGUUACAACUUGAUAGCACAACCCUCGCAAUUUUCAUAACAAACUCUUAGCAUUGUCUCCAUAGCAUGAUGUCAUAAGAGCAAACAGAAAUUCCAUCGAUGGGACUGCACAAUCAAGUGGAAGGAGGGAAAUAAACUGGUAGACAUCUAUCUAUCCUCGCUAAAACCUGUCGAGAUGCCAUAAUCUCAUGGAAGUUUUAGUUAUGGAUUCAUGUCCACCAACAAGACUGAUUUGCUUUUGCUACUUCAAAAGAAACAUAAACUGAGUGAGAGGUAGCAGCUAUCAGAAUUCGCAAUGAGCCAAAGGUUCUUGAAAUUUGAAGAAAGCAAUAUCAAGUCCCCUUUAAUCCAGAGAACAAUAAACUACAGAAUUUCACACCGGACGUAAUCAUCACCAAGAUUCUCACGUAUUCUACUCAUCAAUUUUUUAUGUCAUUCAUCUAGUUGAAUUCUUCUUUUAUUCCCAGUGAAAUGUGUAUAGAUUUUUUCAGAUUACCAUGUUACUGGAAAUUUAAAUGAUGAAUUUUCCACCUUUCCCUGAAAUUUCACUGGCAUAACAAACACAUUUAACUAGCGAAACAGGACAAAGAAAAAAAGAUAUCUUCUCAUCACUACAUUUGACUGAGCUUGAGCAUAACACCUUCUCCAUUUCAGAUUCUGACAAACACCCACCACGCGAUUGGUUCUCUAAGUACGACAGAAACGAAUUUUUCAGCAAAACUCGAUGUGGGUCUUUUUCGACUCGCGCUCGAGUCAACACACGGAUGCAAGCAAUAUACUCGAGGUGGGGAUGGAAAAAAAUUCCAAAAGCCUGCCCCUCGAAUCCGAAACUUUUCAUGGGUGGGAACGCGAGGUUUCAAGAGGGUGGUUGUACCUGGAGGAAAAGAGGGGUCUUGAAAGGAGCGAGAGCUGAGAGACGCGAACUGCGCAGAAAGCUCUCAUCUUGUGGCGGCUCUCUGGAAGUCCCCGUGUUGCUUGCUUCAGACAAUGCGCAUUGAAGAGGGAAAGAGACAAAAAAGAAAACUCAAGAGAAAAAUGAGAAAGUGAGGAGGAAUUGUGAAGCUUUCUCCUGUCUUCGACUUCGUCUUCUCCGAGGUCGAAGCGAAGAGGGAAGGAGAGGUUCUUAAGGGGUUGGGAUAAUAUCAGCAGUGGUGGCGGAUUCAGAGCGGCUUCAGCAUCACUCCAAGAUUUACAAGCAGAAGAAGACACAGUUUGUUUGUUCUUUUUUUCUUUUCACUUUCUUCUUCUUUUUUAUUUUUUAUUUUUGUCUCAGCAGUGCCUAUUUUCAUAAUAUUUCCAUUCAUUUAUUAUUAUUUUUUUUGAAAUAGCGGUCUAGUUUCUGGACGGGUUUUUUUUUUUUAGUUAGUGACUUGUCCACCUUGUUCAGACGAUUUUAUAGGCACAUUCUCGUAUUUAAUAUCUCAUUCCCAAAAUGUUUCCAAUAAGACAUAAACUCAAGAUGCUUUUAUUUAUGAUUCUAUCCAAUUAUUUUAUAAGGAAUUUAAUCCACCUCGACUUGGUGUACUUAAAAUUUUACUUUGGAAUUUCUUUUAACACAAUUCGAACUUACGAUCAUAAUAUUUUUAAAAAAAUUUAGAAGGGAAAAAAAGAGUCAAGGUAGGAUCUUUAUUAAAAGGGGCUCAUUUACAUGACUUUACAUGACUUUAUCAACAACAAUAGAGAGUUUUGAUUUUUAGUGUUAUUGUUGCUCAAAAAUAUAAAAGUAGCUCAUUUUAAUCUUUUUUUUUGGUUAAGAGCUCAUUUUAAUCUUCUUCCUAGAAUGUUUCCAAUAAAAUUUAAAGCCUAAGAUGCUUUUAUUUAUAAUUCUUUUAAACAUCCACUUAUUUUAUAGGGAAUUUAAUCCAUCUCGACCUAAUAUAUUUAAGAUUUACUUUGGAAUUUCUUUCAAUAAGAUUUGAACCCAUGAUUAUAGGAUUUUUUAAGAUAUUUAGAAGGAUAAAAAAAAAAAGUUGAGGUAGGAUCUUUGUUAAAAGGGGUUCAUUUACAUGACCUUAUCAACAAUAGAGAGAUUUGAUUUUUAGCAUUAUUGUUGCUAAAAAAUAUGAAAGUAGAUAGUUUUAAUAUCUUAUCCCCAAAAUGUUCCCAAUAAUACAUAAAGCCCAAGAUGCUUUUAUUUAUGAUUCUUUUAAACAUCCCCUUACUUUAUAAGGAAUUUAAUCCACCUCGAUCUGGUGUAUUUAAUAUUUUACUUUGGAAUUUCUUUUAACGAGAUUCAAAUCCAUGAUCAUAAGAUUUUUUAACAUAUUUAGAAGGGGAAAAAAGUUGAGGUGGGAUCUCUUCUAAAAGGGGCUCAUUUACAUGACCACAAAAUUUGCACAAUUAUCACGAUUUAGCUUCAUGGCCUAAGCUAGUUUAGACGAUAUUCCCACAUUACACAGAAUUUCUCACUCCACGGUUGCCUUUCUUAGGGGCAUUUCUAAAGUUAUGUCUUGGGAAAUGGAUUUAUUUUUGGUUCGUGGUAAACAUGUAAUGUUGGUUGCAAAAUUUUGAAUUACAAUUAUAAAUUUGUGUAACUGGUAACUUGCUGAUUAAGUUACGAAUUAUAAUUUAAGAAGCAUGUGACCGAUUUAUGGUCAUCAAUGAAGUUGACGAAAUUAAAAGAUAAUGCUCACUCAAAACUUAUAAUGACCCAGACAAGAAUAGUCUCCAGGCAUUUCAAACUUAUAUACAAAUACAAAUUCGAAAUAUAGGAAAACUUGAUUUUAGUAAUGGGAGUUGCCAAAGUUCCACAACCCCGACGUCCACGAAUAACAAUUGAUCAAAUGAGCUACCCUGCCACGAGUGCACUAUCCGAUUCAACUUCCAAGGAGGUCGCUACUAUAUGCUGCUCUUGAUUUCCGUCCGCAUACUUGUGGUUGGAUGCAAGUUCAAUCGCCCCUUCAAAUCUGCAUAUAAGUACUAAGAAUUCGACUACCUAAAGAGAAGGGACUCUACUUGUCCACAAAUAACAACAGUUACGGUAAAAGCAACAAGAACUUACAUCUAACAAUCUGGACCUCUCUUGAAGCAAGAAAGCGAAUUAACUAAACCAGACACAAAUCAGAGCAAGAUGUUGUAAGAGGACACGGAUAUUCCAUCCUGUUCAGUGUAUAGAGCUCGAUCCGAUAAUAUAAGCGAAUUGGAACUCACCACAGAAUUGCCCUUAGUAUGCAUGUAUCAACUCCAGUAUGCUGUGAGCCAAACAUGCAUGAAAAUGAGGCAACAAACCAUACAGAGAGUUCAAAUAUUUCUCCUGAGAAUCCAAGUCACAAAAUUGGAUGGUGAAACCUUACUUUCACCCUGACCCAAUUCAUUAAGGUUAAUCUUUGAAGCCGUCCAGUUGAAUGGAUGAUGGCUCGGUAAUAGUCCUGCAAUAGGCAUAGAGACGAGAAUCCUCCAGCAUUGGAAACUAUAAAUGAAAGCAUCAUUAUUCAACAUCAAAGCAGAUCACUUCUUCAGAAGACAUAUAAUAGAAUACGACAAAGAAACAGUUCAUAUUCAUUGACUCGUUGGUGAGGAGUUCAGCAUUUUAAGGAACGUGGACAUUGCACAUGAUGAAUUGGAACAAUAUACAGCAUCAUUUUCAUGCCUUUUCUUUAUUGGCAAAGUCUGGCCCUAAAUCACCUGUAGUCAAAUCUGCCCACAAGAGAGAUCUGUGAUUUUUCGUCGAUGAUAUCCCACUUCUAUGCAAAUCUGAUUGCGGCCUCAGCCCGGGUGAGAAAGACCUUCCCACACAGUCAAACUUUAAGCUCAUUUAAGAUACAUAAAUACACCACCAUAGCACUUGAUUCUUGCGUGCAUCUAUUAUUAUCAAAGAUUGAAUGAUCUGCAUGAACAAUUGCUACUAGUUGUUUCACCAGCUGAUUUGCUUGCCACAAAAUUGGAGUCCUGAGCAAGUCCACAAUCCAUACAAAUAUCUCAUCAUUCAAGCGACGCUCAGUUCAUCAUUCUCAUUAACUGCUACAUGCAACAAACUCAGGCUUCAGCGUCGUCAGGAAGCGCUUUGUCCAUUUUCUUCGUCAAAGCCUCUUCAAAAUCUUGAGCAGACAAUGACAACACCUGGUUCAACAGCAACUGAACUCCGCACUCCUUCAUACGAGCAUAUCUUGGUUUAAUUCUCUCUUCCAAACUAUAGCCGAAAUACUGAGGGAACUUGAUCAGCUCUGAUUGUGGAUAGUCCAUGGUCAAGAAGAAGUCCCAUUUUGGUAUCAAAUUCUCAGCCAAGCUCAAAGUGUAUAAAGCUCCGUACCUGCAUAUCAUAGUCUUAACGUCUUCCAUACUGUAUUCUCUCUCCAAGAAAAAUUCCGUAAUGGGUUUCAAGUGAGCCUCGAUACUAAGGCCAAAAGUCUGAGGUGAACGGUGAAAAAGAACAGCCACAUCAACCCCCAUUGAGCGGAAGUAUUCAGCUGUUGGUCGUAGCUUGUCCUCCACACUGUGACUUAUAAUAUUUGGGGAGUGAGUUAGAAUCUUCCCUAUGCUCUUCUCUGAGAGACCCAUCUUGUUGAGGAAAUCAACCGUUGCGUUAACCUUCUGCCUGCUGUAAGUGAGGAACGCAGGACAGCGGUAUAUAACUUUAGCCCAUUGUUUCUUAUCCACACCCAAGUUCUCCAGGAAUGUCAUUGUGGGUAUUAGAUUCUUUGAGAGACUAAUUCCACAUAACUGCGGCCUUUUGUUGAGGAUAAUUGGAAUUUCAUUCUUUGGUACCCCAAGAUCAAGAAGGAACUCAACCACUGGCUUGAUUUUCCUCUCCAAGCUAUAGUAAGCAAAAGCAGGGAAUCUGCGCGUAAUUCUCUUGAUCUGCUUAAGAGUCAUACCAAGUUCUAAUAGGUAAACAAUAUGAGGAGGAGGAUUAGCCUGGCUCACUCUGGAGACAGCUUUUAGCUUUUUAUUGUCCAUGCUUGAAGGAGAUGGAAGAGGUGGAGGACUAGGUGCAACUACCUUCUCUUUAAGAGGUGGAUCAGGAAAAUUCUCCACCACAUCUACCAGGAUGUUUCCAUGCUCCUCGAGAAGGGAUUCGAGGUAAGGAAUUAACGCAUCCCUUAUUUCAAGAGUUGUGAGCUCUCGGCCUGCCACGUCAUGUUACAAUUAGAUUAACAUUAAGUCAUUCCAUC